AACGAGGCCGACCUGCGGCUGAGUUACCUGCGGAGGGAUCAUUACCGAGUUAUACAACUCAUCAACCCCUGUGAACUUACCUACAACGUUGCUUCGGCGGGAACAGACGGCCCCGUAAAACGGGCCGCCCCCGCCAGAGGACCCCUAACUCUGUUUUUAUAAUGUUUUUCUGAGUAAACAAGCAAAUAAAUUAAAACUUUUAACAAUGGAUCU
rnacentral:misc_RNA from 1 species